AGUGAACGCUGGCGGUAGGCCUAACACAUGCAAGUCGAACGGAAGCACAGUAAGAGCUUGCUCUUACGGGUGGCGAGUGGCGGACGGGUGAGGAAUACAUCGGAAUCUACUUUUUCGUGGGGGAUAACGUAGGGAAACUUACGCUAAUACCGCAUACGACCUACGGGUGAAAGCAGGGGAUCUUCGGACCUUGCGCGAUUGAAUGAGCCGAUGUCGGAUUAGCUAGUUGGCGGGGUAAAGGCCCAGCAAGGCGACGAUCCGUAGCUGGUCUGAGAGGAUGAUCAGCCACACGAGAACUGAGACACGGUCCAUACUCCUACGGUAGGCAGCAGUGUGGAAUAUUGGACAAUGGGCGCAAGCCUGAUCCAGCCAUACCGCGUGUGUGAAGAAGGCCUUCGGGUUGUAAAGCCCUUUUGUUGGGAAAGAAAAGCAGCAGGUUAAUACCCCGCUGUUCUGACGGUACCCAAAGAAUAAGCACCGGCUAACUUCGUG
rnacentral:rRNA from 1 species